UUUUUCCGAAUGCCUUGUGCUGUGCGUUCAAAUAUCAAUUUCAAAUUCAUGUUUUUGUUAAUUGUUCCUUGCUUUUCUUUUAGGGUUGAGUAGGGAAGGCUUAGAUGUGCUCAACUGUUCCAAGUAUUUAUGUUUUCGUCUCUCAAAUUCACCAUGAAUAUAUGCUGCUUUCAAAGGAAUUUCUCAGCUUCUUUGCCGUCUUUGCUUCUUCUUCCGUUACCAUCACAAAGGGAAACCCACUUUUGGUAUAUUGCACCUGAUAAGGUGAAGAGUACAUCUCUCCAAAAUCAAUAUUUAGAAAUCUUUCACCAAGGGAGAAGGAAAGUGUUUCUCAAAUUCGUGGAGACCUGCACAAGAAAAGUGCCCCGCUAGCUUCGGUGUUAGUUCGCACUACCAUUGCCGGAUGUAGGUGCUUGAUGUUACUCGCUUGCAUUUUUCAUUACACUAUUAAUAAACAUAGAGAUUUAACUUUCAAUAUAUUUAAAAUUGAUUUUCUUAUUCUAUGUGGACGCUGUGUCGGCACUAGAUUUGUAAUAUCAAGUUUUACUUGAUAGUUGGAAAAUUUUUUUAACAA